CAUGGUUGAUGGUAUUAAAAGCUACAGAGAGACCCAGGAAGACCAACAGGGUAUGCCGUCUCCCGUCAGCUUCCCUUAAAAGGGUGUGCAAACUUAAGCUUUGGAAUCUUCUCGUAUGCAGAGCUGAGAAAUUGUCUUCUUAAUGCGAAGUGCUGUCAGCCGAGCCGCCCCAUUGGUAUACCAGCACUCGCGCAUUAUUCGGCCCAUUACUCUGAGUGCCUGAAGAAAGAGCAAAGCACAGUUUAAAAAAAAGCCCUUCAUGCCCAAUGGGUAGCUUCAGUGCGAUGUGAAAACCACCAGGAAGACAAGGAAAGGUUUCAAAAAGGUUGAAGCCGUAAGCAGGGCAAGCUUUAGUUGCAAGCAGAAAUGUCUUCCACUCCUGUAACUGCUGCUCUGGAUUCAAGCCACUGUAUGAACAGAAUUCUGGACAAGAGAGAAAAGAAUAGCAGCAACCCUGACAUCACUGGAAGUGAAUGCUGCAAGUUCCCUGUCCCCAGGGAACAGGUUUGGGAAACGUAUCUGAGAUGCUGCCAGUCCAGGGCCUACCUCUACUGUGGAUCUAAUUUGUAAUAGCCUUAGAACUACAGAACUGGAAGGAACCCAAUGGGCCAUAGAGUCCAGCGCCUGUCAACUGAAUUCACACUCUCUGGCUCUGCAGGCAGAUACCUAAACCACUGAGCUAUCUAGCAGUUCAUACUCUAUAAGGAAUUUUCAUGGAUCUUUGUGGGGCAGGGGGAUGCCAUUAAUAAAAACUUAUGACAAAAGGGGGGAAAAAAGACACCCAAUGAAAACAGCACAGUAGGUUAAAGUUGGCUAAGAAGUACUGACUGGCCUUAGUAUACCAAGGAAGCUUCAUAAGAAAGAUAGGAUUUGAAUUUGCACCUUUCUCCUACAAGUCCAGCACUCUUAACUAUUACACUUCACUUGCUCUUGAGCUCAGUGGACACUAUAAAAAUCAUGCCAAGGCCAAAACAUAUUGAGAAAACAGUAAUGCAACUGUUCUUGCUUUUACUUUGCAUACUAUGUAUAUUUUAAUAAAUGGCAAAUAAUGUCAUCUAAUUUGCACAGUAUGUUAAUUGAGCUGCCAGAAUUUGAAGAAGUGGACUAUGGCAACCAUAAACCUAUUCCAGAUGUGGUCUCUCACUUUGAUUCAAUGGCUGUUAUAACAACAGCCGACUUCCAGGAUAACAAGGAGAUCAGCAGAAGUUUGGCACUAACCUAGAUCCCUGGUUAUGUCCUAUAUCAUUUAUCUGAGGGAUGGGCGAUUUCUGCCAAGUUGAUGGCCAUUCUUCAGAUCUGCUGGCGGCCUGAGGGCUACAGCAGUUAAUUUAUAUAUUAACGUUGUUCUUGCUGUUAUUCUUGCUGUUGUUCCUGUCCUCAUCAAUUGCCAUCACCUUUAGAAAAUGUAAUUCAGUA